UUUUUUCCUGGGAUGUCUAAUAGUACAACUCUUGAAGAUUAAAUUGGCAUUAGUUAUUGUUGGAGUAGGUUUUAGCUAUGCCCUUAUUAUUCUUCGUUCCUCUUUAUAUACCAUGCCAUACCAGAAUCUUGGAGUCCAAGAUGAGCAUUCACUAGUGAUUGAUGUAAAUUCGCUACGUACAGAUAAUGCUACUAUGAUGCCACAACUCAUGACUUGUAUCAGGGCACUUCAGCAGGGCAAUUCAAAUGUCACCAACAUGCUUUCUAAGCUUGUGAAGGAAUACCUUGAAGAUAAUUCCAAACCAGUAGUAAUUGACCGUAACUUUGUGAUUGAUGCGCUACCUUCGGGAAAAAUCAAUGACCUUCGCAAAAAUAUAAAGCUGGUAAUGGGCGUUGGGUUUGCAAAGGAGUGCUACGAGGUGUACUGUAACUGGAGGAGGGAAAGCUUAAAGGAGUGCUUAAUAAAUUUAUUAGGCUUGCCAGAGAUUAAUGUGGAGGAGAAAAGUAGAUUGUUGGAAUUUGAAAAUUACAUUCUUAGAAGACGUAUUGAGGCUAUCCAGGUCGCUCUUGGAACACUAAUUCCCAGUGAGCGACGACUCUGUGAUAGCGUCUUCCAGGGGUUCUCUUAUGUGGCUGAUCUUUGUUUCACUGAUAUUUGUCGGGGAACCUCAAUUCAAUUGCUGAAUAUUGCUGUUGUGUUUGCGAGAGCUAGCCCUUCAUACUGGCGUUGGUUCGAAAUCAUUGGCAUGUUUGAGGCAUGGCGUGACGAAAUUCCUGAGUUUCAAUCGUUGUUUCCAGAGUCAGUGGUAAAAAAAGCAAUGGCAAUCCAUGACGAAUUAGGAGAAGCAAGCAGGGACAUUUUUAUGAAAGUGAUAAAUAUGAUUUUCCAUAACCCAGAGGCGAAGAUAAUGGUAAGAGCCAUGGAUGGCAAGAUUAAGGUAAUGACCAUUAAUGUCAUGAGUUACCUCAUUGGUUUGGCCGAUCAGACCUCGGAGCAUAAUGGAGCUGGAACAUCUUCACUUUCUGUGCAGAUUGAUCGAAUAAUGAAGCGUUUGGAGAGAAAAUUGGUGGCAGAGAGCAAACAUUUGGGAGAAAGACGGUACUUUUUCAUGAUGAAUAGUUGGAGGUUGGUAGAGCUAUGUGCCGAAAAGUCGGGGUUAGACGUUGAUUGUUUCAAAAAAUACACAGCAAAAAUUCAACAAAACCUCAAACUUUAUCAAAGAAGCUCUUGGAAUGUGGUGCUAGACUUGUUGAAGCUAGAGAACGAUGAUCGGUUUGUGGAGCCUAAUGCUAACGCAGAGUCUAUGAAAGACAAGCUCAAAUUGUUCAACAACCACUUUAAGGAUCUAUGUAGCAUUCAAUCUAGAUGGGCUGCCUUUGAUAUGCAGCUGAGGGAACAAAUAAUAAUGUCGCUAGAAAACAUUUUGUUGCCAGCAUAUGGAAACUUCAUUGGGAGGUUCCAAAAUAUUCUUGGUAAACAUUCUUAUGAGUAUAUUAAAUACGGAAUGUUUGAUAUUCAAGACCAAAUCAACCAUUUGUUUCUCGAAACCAAGCCAAUGAGUCAGAGACUUCUAAAGUUUGUAUCUCAGGUUUGUAGUUCUAAAAACACUUAUGUAUAAAAAUGGAAAGAAAAGAUGAAAAUAAUUUGGUUGUUUUUUCAUUCUGAAUCAUAGAGUCAAUAUAUACACAAAUACAUAUAUCUAAUUAGAUGAUUCUACUCCAAUAACUCAGCAAUCUAUUCCUACAAUCAAGUUAUUCUAAUAUGACUGACUGUUACCAUAUUUAAAGCAAGAAUCAUGGGAUACAAUUAACUCUCAUAAUAAUAAGAAUCAUAGAAUAUUGACUUUCCUAACAUUCCCCCUCAAGUUGGAGAGUGGAUAUCAAGAACUUCUAACCUGCUCUUCAUUGUAAGAAAGGAUUCCUUCCCUAGUAGUUUAGAGAAUACAUCGGCAACUUCUUCUGUUGAAGGAACAUACUCAGUUGCAACUGAACCAUCUUGAAUUUUAUCAUGAAUAAAAUGACAAUCUAUCUCUAUAUGUCGAGUUCUUUCAUGAAAUACCGGAUUAGACGCAAUGUGAAGAGCUGCUUUGUUGUCACAAUACAACAGUGCUGCCCUUGAGUGCAAUAUCCCCAAAUCCUUCAACAAUGAACAUAGCCAAGACAACUCAACAUGUGCCUGUCAUAGCUCUAUAUUCUGCUUCAGCUGAUUAUAGAGAAACUAUCUUUUGUCUUUUUGUUCGCCAAGAAAUUAGAGAGGAUACCAAAAAAAACACAAUACCCUGUAGUUGAUUUUCUGGAUAUUGGACGACCUCCCCAAUCUGAAUCACAAAAAGCACGUAAAGAUAAAUCAUUUUGGGAAGAGAAAAAUAAACCUUGACAUGAAUUGUUCUUUAGAUACCACAAUAUUUGCAUGGCAGCUUUCAUAUGAGGUUUGCGAGGAGCAUGCAUGAAUCUACUCAAUAUGUGCACUGAGUAGGUGAUAUCCGGACGAGUAACAGUCAAAUAAAUUAGGCAUCCUACAAGUCGUCUAUAUGGGGAUGGAUCUUUCAACAAUUCUCCUUCAUCUGACAAUUUUACAUUUUGCUCCAUGGGAAAAUUCACAGGUUUAGCUCCCAAACAUCCUCCAUCUUUUAGAAUUUCCAAAGCAUAUUUUCUUUGCAAAAUGAAUAUACCUUUCUUUGACCGAGAAACCUCCAUGCCCAAAAAAUAUUUCAAGUCACCCAAAUCUUUAAUCCGGAAUUGAUUAUGCAAAAACUUUUUAAGAACAAUUAUGGCAUUGAGAUCAUUACCAGUUAUGAGGAUGUCAUCAACAUAGAUCAAUAAGGCAGUAAAUGAUUUCCCUUUCUUACAUGUAAACAAUGAAUAAUUUGCUUUUGAUUGAAUAAAUCCAGCACCUUGAAUAGCUGUAGAGAACUUGGCAAACCAUUGGCGAGAGACUUAUUUUAAUCCAUAUAAGAAUUUGUUGUGGCGACACACAAGGUUCUCCCCCUGUCGCUGAAAACUAGGAGGAAGAGACAUAAAUUUCUUCAGAAAGAUCUUUGUGAAGAAAUGCAUUGUGGACAUCAAGUUGAUGAAGUGACCAACGUAUUGUAACCAAAGCAUUGUUGUAAUAAACAACGUAUUGUAACCAUUUUAGCAGUAGGUGAAAAAGUGUCAUGGUAAUCAAUCCCUUCAAGUUGUGUGUAACCUUUUGCUACUAACCGUGCUUUAUAGCGUUUAAGAGAACCAUCUGAUUUGUGCUUGAUUUUGUAGAUCCAACGAUAACCAAUAGCUUGCUUUCCAGGAGGAAGAGGUGUGAGAAACCAAGUAUCAUUUGCCUUUAAAGCAGCCAACUCAGAUUGCAUUGCUAUUUGCCAAUGAGAUUGAGAAGCAGCUUGUUCAUAACAUGUAGGUCAACAUCAUUAGUAAUAGUAGCAAUAAAAGAUCUAUGUUGUGGUUGUAACAUCCCAUUUUUCGUAAACUAAUUGUUAUCUAUAAAUAAAUAGAGUAAGAAAAAUGAUGAGGUUUUUAUAAUUAAAUAAAUAAGAAAUAACUUUAUUGAUUAAAAUAAUGGUUUGAGAAAAAAUAAAAAAAGUAUUUUAUUUAUUAUUUGAUAGAGAAUAAAAUAGAGUUUCUUUUUAUAAAAUAAAAAAAAUAGAGUAAACAAUAAGUUAUAAGUACCCUAGGUAUAAAUAGAGACGUGUUAGGUCAGUUUUCAUAUUGACCAUGCCCUAUCUUUCUCUCAUUUUCGUUUUUUUCCUCUCCUUCUCCCAAAAUCCUUUUUUUUCCCGCGGACCAUCAAACCUGUCUCAGAAAAAUGACGAUCUCGGAAUCAUUCAUCGUUGCAUCGUCAUGAAAUUUAAGCACAUGGUUUGAAACUAAAUUCCGAAAAAUCCCACCGUUGGAAAUUAUGAAAAGAUGUCGGAGCUGAGAGAAAUACCGUUCACAUUGUAACUUUUCCUUUCCCGUAGAAACCCAGAGCUAUCUUAGUAAAACUAUGAUCCCAAACUUGUUAACCGUUGGAUUGUCAUGAAAUUUUGAUAUGUGGUUCACGAUUCAUUUCCACAUGUCUUCAGCGUAGGGAUUUAGAAAAUAAUGUCUGUGGAGGGAGAAAGAUGCAUUGCACGUAGGACCAUGGAAUGGGGGCUUCAAUCCCUUCUUCUUCUCCCUAACGUUUGGGAAUCCUAACAGAGUAACUGGAUGAGGAGCUCUAGAGAGCACUAGAAACCCCACAAUUGAUAACGAAGAAUGCUUGAGCGACUACAUCGAGGUAAGGGAUGAGUUAUUCAUAAUUGGGAUUAGUGAGAACAUGUGUAGGGAUUCUUAGAGUAUCAAUUGGAAUGAGUUUUGAGGUGUUUCCGUAAUUUUUUAUUUUAACCUUAUAAUUAUAACUGUGAAUUAUAUAUGUUUGAUGAACCAGUGAUGUCCCAAUGAGAAAUUGCUAUGAAAUUGAUGUGUUCUUGUGUUGAGUGUGAACCCUUAAAAAAAUUGAGUUUUUUUUAGUAACGUUAAUUAUAUUCUAAAUAAUAUUAUUCAAUGACUUGUUUUAUACAAAUUAUUAUCUUGUUCUAAUUUUUCCACAACGAUGAUCAACAUGUUAUGUGUAUAUAUUUAUUGUAAUACUAAAAUAAUAAAUUAAAGGAAGUUGUAAGGUUAAUGCCUAGUAGUAAUUUCUUUUGAUGUAAUAUUAAAUUAAUUGUGAUUUACUCUCUCUGUGUGUGUGAGAGUGUGUGUGUGUGUGUGUGUGUGUGUGUGUGUGUGUGUGUGUGUGUGUGUGUGUGUGUGUGUGUGUGUGUGUGUGUGUGUGUGUGUGUGUGUGUGUAGCGCAAUAUGUUAAACGUGUUUGAAACACGAGUAUGAGGUCGUGGGUAUUGUAUAAUUCAUGAGCAGUGUUUAUAAAUGAAAUAUGUGAUGAAUUAUGGAAUAACAUGUUGCGUGCAAAUUUAAACAUGUGUUAAUUUGUGAGAUACAUGUAAACAUAUGAUGAUGGAUUGUGACAUUAUGAGAUGUGAAAUUGUGAAUGGGUUUUGGUUGUGAAUUAGUGUGUGGUUAACACUUGAUGUAACAUUACUUGUGUUGUAAUUUGUGAAUUGUACAACAACCUGAGUAGUGUUAUCUUGAGAAAAGUGUUGAUGCGUAGUAUUAAAGAGAGUGUAGGUUUCCUAUUUAGGAACCAGUGUUAAAUUAUAGCGCAAUUGUGUUAAACGUGUUUAAAACACAAGUAUGAGGUCGUGGUUAUUGUAUAAUUCAUGAGCAGUGUCUGCAUGCAAAAAAAAAUUAUUUUAGGGGUUGGACCUGAAUCUGGAGGGAAAGGCCCUGACGGACUCUUCGAAGUGUAGGCCUUGAGGGUCACCCGGUUUGAGUGCUCCUUUAACUCUGUGCCAAUCCCACAUGGUUGGAGCAUUCUCGCAAAACAGCGUGACCCUGACUGGUCUCCCUAUGAUUUUACUUAGUGAGAGUGAUCUGACUUACCCAUUGUGUGGAAAUAAAAACAUGUGGGUGUCACCUGAACGUUUACAUGUGGGUGUCACCAAAAAGCAUCUCAACAGUGUACAUUUUUUCUUGUUUCUACUUAAUUUAGAUUGGAAAUAAAAACAUGUGGGUGUGACCUGAAAGUUUAAAAACAUCCCUCCCUUUUUCACUCAACCAAACCACCUUUUUUCUCUGCUUUUCUUAUCUUUUCCAUUGUACCAAACAGAGUGUAGGAGUAACAUGUAGGAAUAUUUUCAUGAAAAUGAAAGAUAAUGUUUUUUGUAACCUAUUUGUGAAGUAAUUGUUCGGCCAGAUGCCACAGAUCAUCCAAUGCUUUGUUGAGUCAUGGACUACACAGAGCAAAAUUUAGGAGAAUUCUGCAAGUUUGCUGAUGGAACCGGUACAUUUUCAGUUUCUAAUAAGAUUAAUAGAAUAAUAAAGAGAUUGGGUAGAGACCGGGCAGCAAGGUCCAAAUACUACAAGUACCCUACUUUAUGCUACCUUUUCAUGAUGAAUAAUUGGAAGUACAUAGUGCGAAGGGCAACAAAGUUGGGAAUAAACCCUGAUGUUUUGCAAAAGAGCGCAACAAUAGUUCCACAAAACCACAAAAAUUAUCAAAGAAGCUCUUGGAAAAUGGUGUAACAUCCCAAAUUUUCGUAAAUAAAUUUAAAAAGUAUUUUCAGUAAAAAUAAAUAAAUAAAUAAAUAUAGAGCAAAUAAUAGGCUGAGUACCCUAACUAUAAAUAACUAUGAUAAGUCAGGUGCCUCCUAUUGGCCUCAUUUUUGUUUUUCCCCUACUCCUCUCAAAACCCUUUCUUUUUCCCGCAGUCCACCAAACCUAUCUCAGAAAAAUGACGAUCGCGGAUUCAUUCACCGUUGGAUCGUCCUAAAAUUUGAGAACCACAUUAGCAACCCAAUUCCGAGCAGUCUCACCGUUGGGAAUUUCGAUAUCAUGUCUGAGCUAAGAGAAAUACCCCUCGCAUUGUAGUCUUUUCUUUUCCCAUAGAAACCCAGAGCUAUCUCGGUAAAACUACUAUCCCGAUUUCGAUAACCGUUGGAUUUGCGCACACUUUCACCGUUGGGAUUUAUGAGAUAAUAUUUGUGGAGGGAGAAAAAGGAAUCGCAUAAAGACAGUACAAGUGAAGGUUUCAAUCUCUUCUCCGUCUCUCUGACGUUUGAGAAUUUUAUCGGAACAGCCAGAGGAAUAAUUGGAGGAAUCCCAGGGAACCGCUAGAGAUGCUGCUAUCACUGGCUAAAGACACAUGAGUCGGCUCAGAGGUAAGGGAUGAGUUAUUCACAAUUGGAAAUUAAUGAGAACAUGUGUAGGGAUCCUUAGAGAUAUCAAUUGGAAUAGGUUUUGUGGUGUUUUUAUAAUUUUCAUUUUAUCCUUAUAAUUAUUACAGUGAAUUAUAUAUGUUUGACAGACCAAUUAUUGUGAAAUUGAUAUGCUAUUGUGUUGAGCGUGAACCCUAUAAAUUGAGUAUUUUUUCUAAUUAAUAUGAAUUGAUGAAAUAAAGUAAGGAGAAAUUUAGAGAGAGAUAUUGAUUUUGUAUUUUCUCUUUUUCUUGCUUUUUAGGUUUUUAUAUAUAAUUUAAAAAAUUAAUAUCAUAAUUGAAAUUGACCAAAGUGUUCAUAUAAUUAUUUAGAAUUUGUGCAUUGAAAGCUUACCUUGUAAUUUGUGAUUCAAUAUGAUGUAUGCUAGUUUAUAUAUAUAGAGGUAGUUAUUUAUAUUAAUAAUUUAUGUAAAUAAUAUUGUAGAGUGUUAUAGUAUGAUUCCAAAAAUUAUUAAGUGUUGGAAUUUGAGAAUAUUAUGGUUAAAUUUGAUGAACAUGUGUAUAUUGUACCUUAUGAAUAUCAUUAGGAAUGUUAUGAGAUGGUUGAUGUGAUGUUAUGAGAUGUUAAAGUGUGGACAUGAUAUUUGAUUGUGAAUAAGUGGAUGUGGUUAACACUUGAUGUUACAUUAAUUAUAUUGUGAGCUAUGAAUUAUACAAUAACCCGACCAGUGUUUAUGCGCAAUGUUAAAGAGAAAGUGUAGGUUCCUAGUUAUGAACCAGUGUUAAAUUGUAGCGCAAUUGAGUUAAACAUGUUUGAAACAUGAGUGUGAGGUCGUGGUAUUGUAUAAUUCAUGAGCAGUACUUAUAAAUGAAAUAUGUGAUGAAUUGUGGAAUAAUAUGUUGCCUUGAGAUUAUAAUAUUGUUAUUGAGAUUGAGUAAAAGUGUAAACUAGAACAGGUGUUGAAUGGUGAGAUACGUAAAAACAUGUGAUGGUGGAUUGUGACAUUAUGAGAUGUGAAAUUGUGAAUGAGUUUUGGUCGUGAAUAAGUGUGUGAUUAUUUCUUGAUGUGACAUUAUUGGUGUUGUAAUCUGUGAAUUGUAAAAUAAUCCGACCAGUGUUAUCUUGAGAAAAGUGUAAAUGUGCAGUGUUAAAGAGAAAAUGUAGGUUUCCUAUUUAGGAACUAGUGUUUAAAGAGAAAAUGUAGGUUUCCUAUUUAGGAACCAGUGUUAAAUUGUAGCGCAAUAUGUUGUACGUGUUUAACACACGAGUGUGAGGUCGUGGGUAUUGUAUAAUUCAUGAGCAGUGUCUGUGUGCUAAAAUGAUUUUAGGGGUUGAACCUGAAUCAGAAGGGAGAGACCCUGACGGACUCUUCGGAGUGUAGGCCUUGGGGGUCACCGGGUUUGAGUGCUCCUUUAAGCCUAUGCAGAUCUCAUAUGGUUGGAACAUUCUCGCAAAACAUCGUGACCCUGACUGGUCUCCCUAUGAUCUUACUUAGUGAGAGUGACCUGACAAACCCAUUGUGUGGUGUGUCUUGUUAUGUACUCCUAAGCGCCCCAGGAUCGUUUUUCAUUGAUAUGGUACCACAUUGCAUAUAGGUUUGAGUCUUAGCAUAACUGUUGCAUACGCUUGCUAAUUGUUUAUUAUGAAAUUGAUGUGUUAUUAUGUCUUGAUCGGAGUGUGUGAUUCUUGUGUAAUGUGAUCGAUGAUUGAAAAGUGUGAUUGAUGAUUAAAAGGUGAAUUUCGAAUGACAAAGUGGUGGAAUUAUGUGAGUUAUAUUUAAGUAAGUUUUAUUUUAUUUAUAUGAUAUGUAUAUCUAUUUGUCUUGCUUAUCUAUUAGUUAGGAAUGUCAUAACUCACUCCCUAUGUGUUGUUUGUGUUUGGAUCAUGUGAUGAUCUUGAACUUUGUGUUCGGGGGCGCAGAUGACUAGGUGAAUUGCUUUCAGGAACCUUGUCCUGAAGGACGUCGAGACACAACGCUCUGAUAGGAUGUGGCAUUGGGGUAUAGGAUUUUGUAUUAAUUGUAUGAAAUCUUAGACGACCUUGUUUGAGCCGAUGACUUUAUUAUUUAUUUGGACAAGUUUGGAUAUGAUAUAGAAGAAAGUGGUUGUGAACCUUUUAUCCCUUUGAAAGACUUGUAUUUAAAAAUGUUUUAAAAAAUACUUUUAAUUAAUAUUUAAAUUUUUAUUCCUUGUUUGUAUAUAUGUGAGGGGUAGAGGGUGUCACAAAUGAUGCCGGUCUUUUUGAAGCUAGAGGACAAUGAGUUAGUGGACACAUUCUAUCAAAGACAACCUUAUCAACGAGCACAAUAGUUCGACAAAACCUCAAACUUUAUCAAGAAGCUGUUGGAAUAUGGUGCUAGACUUUUUGAAGGUAGAGAACCUCCCAAUGCACAAUCUAUGAGAGAAAACCUCAAUUUGUUCAACAUGCAAUUUGAGGAAAUAUGUAGCAUUCAAUCUACAUGGUAUGCCUCUAAUAAGCAGCUAUAUAAGUGGACAAAUAAUAUUAUCACUACAAAACAUGAUGUAUCCUCGACCCAUUGCUCAACCAAAUGAAUUAAAUUCAUCGCUAAGUAGAGUGAUAAAUAAUAUACUAGUUUUGGAAGAGUUAAAAGAAUUAAAAAUAAUAAAAAUGUUUUAAAAAUAGAAUAAGCGUAUGUCUCAUUUAAUAUUAGAGGUAAUUUAAUAUAUAUAUAUAUAUAUAUAUAUAUAUAUAUAUAUAUAUAUAUAUAUAAAUUUAAUGUUAUUAACUAAAUUAAUUAAUUUUUUAGUUGUUGUAAAUUUGUUAACUGAGCCUUAUAAAAGAGAUAAAAGGAAGUAUUAAUUAACUUGUGAUAAUUCCAUUCAUUAACAUAUUCUAAUAAAAUAAUAGAUAAUAAAAGUUCAAACAAACAAUCCCAAAUGAAAAGUAUUGAUUAGUUCAAUAAUAUAUAAGGACUAAUUUUUUAUAGCAACUUAAUUUUUUUAAUAAUAUUAAAUGCCAUCAAAAUAAGAUAUUUUAUUUCAAUGCUUUAAAGAUUUUUUUAUUUUAAUUUUUUAAAUUUUACACAAUUUAUGGAAAAUCCACUUGAGUGCCUAGAAGACGUGGCAAAUGAAUGAGUUACCAACAUAAUUAUUGCAUCAUUUACUCAACACAAGUAUUAAAACUAAAAGUUUUAAAUCUUUAAAGAACUAAAAAAAACAGUUUACUUUAUAAAGAUGAAAAGGUUAUUUAAGUCUUAAAAGAAUAUUUACAAUGACAAAAAUGAAAAAAAAAGACUAAGUAAUAAUAUGAGAGUCCUCAGAAAAAUUUUCACUAACAACACUUGAUAGAUUGUCUUCUCGAUCCAAAACAAAAUCAAUGGCUCAAUCAUUUUGAAUAGGUUUAAAUACUUUUUUUGUCCAUGUAAUUUAGUUUUUUUUUUUGUACUUGAUUUUUUUUUUCUUUUUAAUCCUUACAAAAUAUAUUUAUUUUAUUUUCGUUCUUAAAGGACUUUAGACGAUGCUUUGAACUGUAAAAAGGUAUUUUAAAUAGUAAAAAAAAGUUAUCGAAAACGGUUUAAGGAUGAAAAAAAAAACACAUUUUAGAAGAUUAAAACAUUUUUUUAUAAAGACGAAAAUGAAAAAUAAUAUAUUAAAUUAUAAGAAUAAAAAAAAUUAAAACUUUUGAAUAUCCUAGGAUGGCUUUGUGAAAAAUUGGUAACUCGAAAUUUGAAUAUCCUGGGAUGGCUUUAUUUAAUUAAAAGUGUUUUAAACUUUUUUUCUUUUAUGGAACUUGACUUGUUGUGAAAGACUUUUGGUCCAUUUCUUCAAAAUUUCAUACGCGUGAUUUCCUUGAAAUUUCAUCAUAAAUUCAUUGAUCUUUCAGUGUGGAAAAACAAUAAAACAAACUGAUAGGUCAAUUGCUUUAGACUUUUUGUUCCUUUGCUCGAAAUUUCUUCUCAAUAAAUGGGUGAGUUUCUAAUUAAUCCUAAGCCAGAAAAUAAAAAUGCUUGUUCUCUAGUCUGUAUAUCUAUCUAGCAUUCUUUCAAUCUUUAACCACACACCUUUAGUUUCUUUAUGUUUUCCAGCAGGCAAAGGCUCUAGAGGAUCCAACUUUAACCACAUAUCGGGGUUAGACGUUGACUGUUUCAAAAAAUACACAGCAAAAACUCAACAAAACCUCAAACUUUAUCAAAGAAGCUCUUGGAAUGUGGUGCUAGACUUGUUGAAGCUAGAGAACGAUGAUCAGUUUGUGGAGCCUAAUGCUAACGCAGAGUCUAUGAAAGACAAGCUCAAAUUGUUCAACAACCAAUUUAAGGAUCUAUGUAGCAUUCAAUCUAGAUGGGUUGCCUUUGAUAUUCAGCUGAGGGAACAAAUAAUAAUGUUGCUAGAAAACAUUUUGUUGCCAGCAUAUGGAAACUUCAUUUGGAAGUUCCAAAAUAUUCUUGGUAAACAUGCUUAUGAGUAUAUUAAAUACGGAAUGUUUGAUAUUCAAGACCAAAUCAACCAUUUGUUUAUCGGAAGCAUGCAAAUGAAUCAGUACCUAAAAGUGACAGAGAGAGUCUUAAAAGUUAAUUUGUAUCUCAAACCACUCAAACCGCGUCAUUACUCAACCGCGUGGAAGAGACUUUGUAGGUAAUAUGAUAUAUGAAUUUAUUAUAUGUUUUUAUUUUUUUAUAAAUAUUUAAUUUUUGAAUUAUUUUUAACAAAUUUUUAUUUUAUGUUGAGUUUUUAAUAAAAUAAUAAUUUUUUCCUUGUUAAUUUUUAGUGUUUAAUAAAUUAAUAAAUUUUAUAUUUAUUAUUGGUCUGAAUUAAAAUAAAAUUUAUUAAUUUAUCAGGAAGUAAGAUAAAAUAUUAAUAACAAAAAAUAAACUGUUAUCUUAUUAACAACUUAUGCUAAAACAAAAAUUUAUUAAAAAAUAAACAUCAAAAUUAAAUAUUUAUUAAAAAUAAAAAAAAUAUAUUUAAGUUCAUUUUAUAUAUCUUUCUUCUUAUCAUAUAUCAUAUGAGUUAAAAGGUGUCUAAUUAAUAGCAUGGAUGUGGACGGAUCUUUAUCCUAUAAUUUAUUAUAGCAUAUAAGGUUUUUGUCCCUUUCCUUGAAAUUUCAUCUGAAGAUACAGGUGGGUUUCUCAUCCUAAGCCAGAAAUGAUUGCUCUGUAGUCUGUAUAUAUUAUCUGUUAAAGCAACUCUUACUCACUACAUAAAAAACAUGACGCUUUUGGCCAUCAAAAUGACUAGAUGGCUGACUCAGGUAGCGGUAUGGAGAUUUGUUGGUUUUGUUUCAACUAUUGUUGGACUUGUUUGUUACGGUCUCAGCUCCUCCUUCAACUACCUAUUUGGAGAGUGGAGCUUGUUGAAGAUCUUUCUUUACAGUGGUUUUAGUCUCUUCAUCUGCCUUGGGAAUCUGUUUGCAAAGGUAUGUCGACCCUCAACCUCAACGAGUCUCCGAUUCAAAGCUCAUUCAUCAUUCUUGGUUUUGACCAUCACAUCUGUGUAUUCCUAUUUUGCUGACAAAGCUAUGAAUGGAAAACCAGAUGUAUAUAGCUUGAUUUCAUGUGUUUCCUUUGCUAUCAUGUCGUUCAGCCUCUCAAGGCAAACUCAGUGUGGAUUUGAAGUGGAUCUUUUUUAUUUUUUCCUUGGAUGUUUAAUUGUAUUACUCUUGAAGAUUAAAUUUGCAUUAGCUGUUGUUGGAGUAGGAUUCAGCUAUUCCCUUAUUAUUCUUCGUUCCUCUUUAGACACCGCAUUGCACCAUAAUCUUGGGGCCCAAGUUGAUCAACUGGCUAGUACUACUGAUACUUCUGCAGUAGUGCUUUUCGUUGAUCAACUGGGCCGUACUGAUAUUGAUGUAGCAGCAGUGCAAGAUAUCGUUGUCGAAGGGCAACGGGAUAAUGCACAACGUGAUAAUGCUAGUAUGAUGCAACAACUCAUGGCUUGCAUUGAAGUUCUUAGGCAGGGCAAUUCGAAUCUCACCAACAUGCUUUUGGAGCAUACAAAAGAAUACUUUGAUGAUAAAUCAGAACUAGCUGGUGUGGACCAUAACUUUGUGAUUGAUGCGCUACCAUCUGGAAAAAUCAACGACCUUGAGGAAACCAUAAAGCUCAUGGUGGACGAUGGACUUGAGAAAGAGUGCUGCGAUGUGUACUGUAAUUGGCGGAGGGAAAGCUUAGAGCAGUGCAUAAUAAAUUUAUUACGGUUACAAGGGAUCAACAUCGAGGAAAAACUUGAACAGAGGGAAUUUCAAUAUUACAUUUUAAGAUGGAUUAAAGCUGUCAAUGUUGCUCAUAGGAUACUAUUUCCCAGUGAGCGACGACUCUGUGAUUGCAUCUUCUCGAGGUUCUCUUCUGUUGCUGCUCUUUGUUUCAAUGAGGUUUGUAGGGGAGCCCUGAUUCAAUUGCUCAAUUUUGCUGAAGCUGUUGCAAGUGGAAGCCCUUCAGAGUGGCGUUUGUCCAAAAUCCUUGACAUGUUUGAGACAUUGCGUGACCUGAUUCCUGAGUUUCAAUCGUUGUUUCCUGAGUCAAUGGUAAAGGAAGUAAUGAAAGUCCAUGACAAAUUAGGUGAGGCAAGCAGGGUCAUUUUCAUGAACAUGGAAAAUGUGAUUUUCCAUAUCCCAGAGACCAAGGUAAUUGCCCCGGCAGAUGGCAGGGUUCACCUAAUGACCAAACACGUCAUUCGCUACCUCGUUUUUACUAGUCGGGCACAAAAGAUCUUGGAGCAAAUUUUAGAACAAUACCCCAAGUUUGCUAAUGAAGUGGCAAAAUCUAAUUCAGUUUCUGAUCAGAUUGAUCAAGUAAUUAAGCGAUUGGAGACAGAACUUGUCACAGUGUCCAAAAACUACGACAAGCCUGCUUUGCGUUACUUUUUCUUGAUGAAUAAUUGGAGGUGUGUAGAGCUAGAGGCAAUUAAGUUGAGAUUAAACCUUGGUUGUUUCCAUAAAGACACAACAAAAGUGCAACAAAACCUCGAACUUUAUCAAAGUAGUUCUUGGAAUAUGGUGCUAAACUUUUUGAAGCUAGAGAACAACGAGCUAGUGGAGCCUAAUGCGAACGCAGAGUCACUGAAAGGCAGCCUCAAUUUGUUCAACAUGCACUUCAAGGAUAUAUGUAGCACUCAAUCUAGAUGGCUUGCCUUUGAUAAGCAGCUAAGUGAAAAAAUAAUAAUGUCACUCCAACACAUCUUGUUGCCAGCAUAUGGGAACUUCAUUGAGAAGUUGCAAGAUGUUCUUGGUAUACAUGCUUCUGAGUAUAUUAAAUAUGGAUUGUUUGAUAUUAAAGACCAACUCAACCAUUUGUUUCUUGGAAGCAUGCCAAUGAAUCAGUAUCUGAAAGACAAGGAAAAAUUGUUAAAGCUUGCAUAAACUGAUAUAUAAACUUUUUGUUAUCAUAGAAGUUGUUGUAAUAAGAUUUAUGACUUGUACUACAUGCCCUUCUAUGUUUUCCUUUUAGAAUGCAAACACAUUUUUCCUUUCUGUGUUGUUUUUGUAUUUUAGAUUGGCAUGAAUCAACUCGAAGUCCAAGUUGCAAAGGAGAACAUACUUUGGUUUUAUUGGGGGAGAAAUAACUGUAAAAAAAUUUGUCGACGGCUAUGUUGCGAUAAUUUUCUUCCAAUUUACAAGUUUGUUUCCAUUUCAAGCCUCUUUUUCCCUUUUGCAACAUUACAUUUUAUGGAGUCAAUCCAAAGAUGCCACCGUUUAAAAAUGAAUUUAAAACUCAUUGCUUAAUUCGUGCUAAGUUUAUUUUUAAGUAAUUAAAUAUGCUUCCAAUUAAACAUUUUUGCAACAUUACAUCAUUCAAGGGGUGUCUUGUUUAUAGCUCUUUGUACUCCAUGGUUAUUUUUGGACUACAAUAUGUUUUUUUAGAUCCACGAUAAAUUAGUAAAUUUUGUAUUUUCUCUUUAAUAAAGUAGUCUCUCAAAAAAGAAAAAUUCGAAUUUAGUUACUAAAUGUACAAAAAGCACGAAAAAUUAAUCCUAUACAUAAUUUAAUGACAAAUUGAUUCCUUAAUUUUAUAACUUAAUAUUAAAUUAUUUCUCAAAAAAUACAAUUUAAAUUGGUCCUUGGAUAUCACAACCUAAUGACAAAAUGAUUUCACAAAUUUAACAACAAAACAAAUUUGUUGUAGUUUUUGCACAUCCAAAAAUUAAAUUUGUAUUUUUUAGACCAAUUUAUCAGUGCAUUACAUCUUCAGGGACCAAUGACCAAUUUGAUUAUUUACCCUUAGACUUUUGGUCACUUUCCUUGAACUUUCAUACACAUUAAAGAUAAAUAUAAGAUAAAUAAUCAAAUUUGUCCAUGAAAGUGUGAAGCAUUGACAAAUUGUAAAAAAUGCGACUACUUAAUCCAACAAAUAAUUUAAUAACAAAUUAAUCCGUGAAGUUUGAAAUACGAGACCAGAUUUAGCUAUUUACCCAAUAUAAUACUUGUUACACAAGACAAGAUUUUGUAUCCCUUUCCUCGAAGUUCAUCUGAAGAAACAGGAGAGAUUCUCAACCUAUACGUAGAAAAUGCGCUCUCUCUCUAAUCUCUACAUAUUUGUCUGCUGUGAAAGCAAUUCUUACCAUCUCUCACACUUACAGAUUAUCAAGAUGUUGAACACUCUCACACUUACAGAUUCAGGGAAGAGAGAAUAUGCACACACAUAUGGAGAGGGGGAUAGGGAAAUUGAUAGGAAGUGAAAUUUUGUUAUAGCUUCACUCACACAGAGAGUUGUUGUACAAGCAAUGACUCCCUUAUAUAGGUGAGUUUCUAACAAUUACAAACAAAUCAAAAUUAACUAGCUAACUGAAUUAUAACUAACACAAGAACCUUCAGCAAACUAUAAUGCCGAUGGUGGACAAUGGGUUUGAAAAGGAGUGCUGCCACGUGUACUGUAAUUUGUAAUUUAUGAGUUGUAAGAGAUCAACAUGAAGCAGAAACGUGAAGGGAAACAAUUGGAAGAGUACAUUAUUGGAAGAUGGAUUAAAGCUCUCAUGGUGGCUCUUAAGAUACUAUUUCUAAGUGAGCGACAACUCUGUGAUCGCUUGUCUUCUCGGGGUUCUCUUCUCUUCUGUUCCUGAUCUUUGUUUCACUGAGGUCUCCCUGGGAGACACAGUUAAAUUGCUGAAUUAUGCUGAUAUGCUUUCAAAUAUCCUUGACAUGUGUGAGACAUUGCGUGACCUAUUCCUGAUAGUCAAUCAGUGCUUCAGGAGUCUCUGGUUAAGGAAUUAAGGACAGCCCACAUCAGAUUAGAACUGUGUUUGGUUGUGAGAAAACAAAGGGAAAGAAGGAAAAAAUAUGUGAAAAAAAAGAGAAAUAGAAUAAACAUUUGGUUGGAGUCAAAUGCAAUGGAAUACAGAAAAAAUAUAUGCAUUAAAGUUGUUUAGUAGGUAAAAAAAAAUGAUACGUUGAUGAAAAUAUCAUUUUACCUCUAAGUAUAAAAAUGUUGAGUUUUUUUAUUUUUUUUUAUAAAAAAAAACCAUGUAAGUUAUUUUUAAAUUUUGGACACUUGAGUUCGUGUGAGCCAGAGCUAGCUGAAGAAAAUAAAUUAGAGUUUUCACAAAAUCAUGCUGCGUGGUUAUGAAACCGUGCUCCAUUAAAACGUACGUGCUCCGGAACAACAUUCUAUGCCCACAUGUUACAAGGAUUUUUAUUAGAAAAAAAACUGUACUUAUGGUUCUUCCCAAUAUUGUUCUGUAAUUGUCUUUCAUGCGGUCCUAAGCUUGAUAAUUUUAAAUAUUUAUUGAAGUGCUCUGGCUAGACAUGAGUAGGUGUUGUGGACCUUGAGGCUGAUGCCACAUGCUGAAUUUGAAAGAAAACCGUUACGCUGUAAAGCAUAAUCGAUUAUACUUAAGAGGAAGGCAACUUGGGAAAAGCAUCUCAACAGUGUACAUCUUUUCUUGUUUCUACUUAAUUUAGAUUGGAAAUAAAAACAUGUGGGUGUCAUCUGAAAGUUUAAAAACAUCCCUCCCUUUUUCACUCAACCAAACCUCCUUUUUUCUCUGCUUUCCUUAUCUUUUCCAUUGUACCAAACAGAGUGUAGGAGUAACAUGCAGGAAUAUUUUCAUGAAAAUGAAAGAUAAUGUUUUUUGUAACCUAUUUGUGAAGUAAUUGUUCGGCCAGAUGCCACAGAUCAUCCAAUGUUUUGUUGAGUCAUGGACUACACAGAGCAAAAUUUAGGAGAAUUCUGCAAGUUUGCUGAUGGAACCGGUACAUUUUCAGUUUCUAAUCAGAUUAAUCGAAUAAUAAAGAGAUUGGGUAGAGACCGGGCAGCAAGGUCCAAAUACUACAAGUACCCUACUUUAUGCUACCUUUUCAUGAUGAAUAAUUGGAAGUACAUAGUGCGAAGGGCAACAAAGUUGGGAAUAAACCCUGAUGUUUUGCAAAAGAGCGCAACAAUAGUUCCACAAAACAUAAAAAAUUAUCAAAGAAGCUCUUGGAAAAUGGUGCUGGUCUUUUUGAAGCUAGAGGACGAUGAGUUAGUGGACACAAUCUAUCAAAGACAACCUGAUCAACGAGCACAAUAGUUCGACAAAACCUCAAACUUUAUCAAGAAGCUCUUGGAAUAUGGUGCUAGACUUUUUGAAAGGUAGAGAACCUCCCAAUGCACAGUCUAUGAAAGAAAACCUCAAUUUGUUCAACAUGCAAUUUGAGGAGAUAUGUAGCAUUCAAUCUACAUGGUAUGCCUCUAAUAAGCAGCUAAGUGGACAAAUAAUAAUAUCACUACAAAACAUGUUGCCAGAGUAUGGAAUCUUCAUUGGGAGGUAAUUUCAAGAUAUUCUUGGUAAACAUGCUGCUGAUACUUACGUUAAAUAUGGAAUAUUUGGUGUUCAAGACCAACUCGAUCAACGUUUUGUUACUUGGAAGCGUGCAUGCCAAUGACACAGAAGAUGGAAGCGAAGGAGAGUCGGUUAAAGCUUGUAUCAAACUAAAUAUAUACUCUUUUUUUUAUUACUAUCAUAAGAGUAGUUCUAAUAAGAUUUAUUGUAACAUCCCAAUUUUUCGUAGAUAAAUUUAAAAAGCUUUUUAGUAAUAAAUAAAUAAAUAAAUAAAUAUAGAGCAAAUAAUAGGCUGAGUACCCUAGGUAUAAAUAGUUAUGUUAAGUCAGCUGCCUCCUUUUGGCCUCAUUUCCGUUUUUCCCCUUCUCCUCUCAAAACCCUUUCUUUUUCCCGCAACCCACCAAACCAGUCUCAGAAAAAUGACGAUCUCGAACCCGUUCACCGUUGGAUCGUUGUGAAAUUUGAGUAUCAUGUUCGCAACACAAUUCCGUGCAUUCUCACCGUUGGGAAUUUUGAUAUCAUGUCUGAACUGAGAGAAAAACCCUUCGCAUUGUAGCCUUUUUCUUUCCCGCAGAAACCCAGAGCUGUCUUGGUAAAACUACGAUCCCGGUUUCGUUAACCGUUGGAUUAUUGUUAAAUUUGGAUAUGUUGUUAGAAAUUCAAUUCCUCACGCUUCCACCGUUGGGAUUUGCGAGAUAAUAUUCGUGGAGGGAGAAAAAGGAAUCGUAUGAAGACAGUACAAGUGGAGAUUUCAAUCUCUUCUCCGUCUCUCUGACGUUUGGGAAUUCUAUCGGAGCAGUCGGAUGAAUAAUUGAAAGAAUUUCCGGGAACCGCUAGAGAUGUUGCUAUCGCUGGCUGAAGAUACGUGAGCCCGCUUAGAGGUAAGGGAUGAGUUAUUCACAGUUGGGGAUUAGUGAGAACAUGUGUAGGGAUCCUUAGAGGAUUAAAUUGGGAUUUUAUUUUGGGAUUUUUGUUAAAUUGCAAUUUUUCCUUUAUGAUUAUAAAUAAAAUAUUGAUGUCCUGAUGAAAAUUGCUUGAUAAAUUGUGCUCUUGAUAUUUGUAUAUUUGGACCUAUGAUUUGGAUAUAAUUGUGUAAUAUUAUUUGAGGGGUUUAGUCCUCAUGUUGUGAUAGUCUUUUAUAUAAAUUGUUAUAUUGAGGAUAUGAAAUGAUAAUUCAAAUUGUGAGUAUGUGAUGAAUUGUAGAAUAACAUGUUGCUUUAAGAUUAUAAUAUUGUUAUUGAGAUUGAGUAUAAGUGUAAAGUUGAACAUGUGUUAAUUUGUGAGAUACGUGUAAACAUGUGAUGGUGAAAUUGUGAAUGAGUUCUAGUUGUGGAUAAGUGUGUAGUUAACACUUGAUGUGAAAUUACUUGUGUUGUAAGCUAUGAAUUGUACAAUACCCGACCAGCGUUAUCUUGAGAAAAGCGUUGAUGCGCAGUGUUAAAGAGAAAAUGUAGGUUUCCUAUUUAGGAACCAGUGUUAAAUCGUAGCGCAAUUGUGUUGAACGUGUUUAAAACACGAGUGUAAGGUCGUGGGUAUUGUAUAAUUCAUGAGCAGUGUCUGCAUGUAAAAAAAAAAAUUAUUUUAGGGGUUGGACCUGAAUCAGGAGGGAGAGGCCCUGACGGACUCUUCGGAGUGUAGGCCUUGGGGGUCACCGGGUUUGAGUGCUCCUUUAAGCCUAUGCUGAUCUCAUAUGGUUGGAGCAUUCUCGCAAAACAUCGUGACCCUGACUGGUCUCCCUAUGAUCUUACUUAGUGAGAGUGACCUGACAAACCCAUUGUGUGGUGUGUCUCGUUAUGUACUCCUAAGCGCCCCAGGGUGGUUUUUCACUGACAUGGUACCACAUUGCAUAUAGAAUUGAGUCUUAGCAUAACUAUUGCAUAUGCUUGCUAAUUGAUGUGUUAUUAUAUCUUGAUCGAAGUGUGGGAUUCUUGUGUAAUGUGAUUGAUAAUUGAAAAGUGAAUUUUGAAUGACGAAGUGGUGAAGUUACGUGAGCUAUGUUUAAGCAAGUGGUAUCUCAUUUAUAUAAUAUGUAUAUUUAAUUGUCUUGUUUCUCUAUUAGCUAGCUAGGAAUGUGAUAACUCACUCCCUGUGUGUUGUUGUGUUUGGAUCCUGUGAUGAUCUUGAACUUGUGUUCGGGGGAGCAGAUGAAUAGGUGGAUGACUAUGAAGAACCUCAUGCUAGAGGACACGGGAACACCACGCUCUGAUAGGAUGUGACAUUAGGAUAUAGGUUCUAUAUUAAUUGUAUGAGACUUAUAUGACUUUCUUUGAGUCGAGAUGACUUUAUUAUUUAUUUGGACAAGUUUGAAUAUGAUGUAAAAGAAAGUGAAUGUGAGCCUUUUACCCAUUUGAAAAGCUUGUAUUUAAAAAUGUUUUAAAAAUACUUUUAAUUAAUAUUUGAAUUUUUAUUCCUUUAUUAAUAUAUAUGUGAGGGGUAGAGGGUGUCACAUUUAUGGCUUGUACUUGUACCAUAUGCCAUUCUCGGUUUUCUUCUUAGAAUCGCAAAUUUAUUUUCCUUUUGGUCUUGUUUCUAUUUAGUUAUAUAUGGCUCAAGUUGAAGUCCAAUUUGCAAUUGAGAAUAGACUUUCAUUUUUGUUCUGAUCUCAAAAUCUGCAUGCAUUGUUAGGAUCCCUUGUAUUUUAUUAUCCGCUUAAGUGUUUAGAGUGAAUCAUCAUAAUUUUAUUUUAUUUGUAAGAAAUGUUUUAGUUGAUUAAGAUCAGAGGAUGUAUCCUCGACCCAUUGCUCAACCAAAUGAAUUAAAUCCAUCGCUAAGUAGAGUGAUAAAUAGUAUACUACUGUUGGAAGAGUUAAAAUAAUUAGAAAUAAUAAAAAUGUUUUAAAAAUAGAAUAAGCGUAUGUCUCAUUAAUAUUAGAGGUAAUUAAAAAAAUAUAAAUUUAAUGUUAUCAACUAAAUUAAUUAAUUUUGUUAGUUUUUGUAAAUUUGUUAACUGAGUUUUAUAAAAGUGAUAAAAGGAAGUAUUAAUUAACUUGUGAUAAUUCCAUUCAUUAACAUAUUCUAAUAAAAUAAUAGAUAAUAAAAGUUCAAACAAACAAUCCCAAAUGAAAAGUAUUGAUUAGUUCAAUAAUAUAUAAGGACUAAUUUUUUAUAACAACUUAAUUUUUUAAAUAAAAUUAAAUGCCAUCAAAAUAAGAUUUUUUAUUUCAAUGCUUAAUGUAAAGAUUUUUUUUUAUUUUAGUUUUUUAAAGUUUACACAAUUUAUGGAAAAUUCACUUGAGUGCCUAAAAGACGUGACAAAUGAAUGAGCUACCAACAUAAUUAUUCCAUCAUUUACUCAACACAAGUAUUAAAAAAAGUUUAAAAUCUUUAAAGAACUAAAAUAAAAUAAAAACAGUUUACUUUAUAACGAUGAAAAGGUUAUUUAAGUCUUAAAAGAAUAUUUAUAAUAAUUAGAUAAAUAAUAAAAAAAAUUGUAAUAUUUUGCAUUUUAUCUGCAUAAUUUAAAAUGAUAGAAUCUAAAGUGAAUUUUGAUUUUAAAUUUCUAAUACCAUUAUCUAGAAUUAGAUUAAAUAAUAAAAAAUAUACAAAGAUUUAAGUAUAAACUGAUAUUAUAUAAAAAAAAAUCUCAAAAGAAAUUUCACUAGGUACCAGCACUAACACUCGUCUGGAUCCACAACAAAAUCAGUGACUCUAACAUUAUUUUUUAUUUUUUAGAUAACAGACUCAAACAUUCUGAAUCCUUUUGUCAAUUUUCGAAAAACAUCGGUAGUAAACAACUUCGUCCUUUACAAUUUCGUUCGUUGCAUGCAGUAUAUUAUAUUAUUAAGAAAAUAAAACUUUGGAAUAUCUACUAAAUAUUAGGGCAUAUAACUGGUCAGAGGAAGCUCAGGGAAGGAGCAUGUAAUACAUAUAUAAUUCAACCAUUUUUUUAAAUAAAAAAAAAUAGUCCACGCUAAAAUGAGUUUAAUAGUAACACUAGUUUUGGGUAUAUUGAAUGUGAAAAAUUAUACUGGUUGAUUGAGUAUAUAUAUGAGUUUAAUAAUAACACUAGCUUGGGUCCCUUUGCUUGAAACUAACGUCAUCGCUCAUCCGCGUGAAAGAGAAAUAUAACUUAUUACCUCUUGUUUAUGAUAAAAUAAGAUACACUGAAACUUGUUUCUUAUUAAAAAAAAAAAAAGAGAUCGGAAAAGAGUAUUACAAUAGACCAGGUUUUGGUCCCUUUCUGCGAAAUUUCGUCCGAACAAACGGAUCAUCUCCUACAUAAGAAAUGCUUGCUCUCUAUAAAUUGAUCUAUCUGUUAAAACAACUCUUCAUCACUUCAGAGAAAACGUGAAAUCUUUGACAACACAAAUCGUGACAUGGCUGAAGCAGGUAGCAGUAUGGAAAUUUGUUGGUUUUUCUUUCAACUGUUGUUGGUCCAUUUCUUCAAAAUUUCAUACGCGUGACUUCCUUGAAAUUUCAUCAUAAAUUCAUUGAUCUUUCAGUGUGGAAAAACAAUAAAACAAACUGAUAGGUCAAUUGCUUUAGACUUUUUGUUCCUUCACUCGAAAUUUCUUCUCAAUAAAUGGGUGGGUUUCUAAUUAAUCCUGAGCCAAAAAAUAAAAAUGUUUGCUCUCUAGUCUGUAUAUCUAUCUAGCAUUCUCUCUAUCUUUCUCCUUCCUAUUUCUCUCCUUAUCUUUCUUUCUUUCCUUCUUUCAAUCUUUAACCACACACCUUUUGUUUCUUUAUGUUUUCCAGCAGGCAAAGGCUCAAGAGGAUCCAACUUUAACCACAUAUCCCGUCUGAAAGUAUUUAUUUUCCCAUUUCAGAUAAAACAUGACUUCUUUGACCAUCCAGAUGGCGAGAUGGCUGAAGAAGGAAGCAGUAUGGAGAUAUGUGGGGUUCGUUUCAACUAUUCUUGGACUACUCUGUUAUGGUCUCAGCUCCUCCUUCAACUCUCUCUUCGGAGAGUGGAGCUUGUUGAAGAUCUUUCUUUACAGUGUUUUUAGUCUCUUCAUCUGCCUUUGGAGUCUUUUUCCAAAGGUAUGGCAAUACUCAACUAGUCUCCGACUCAAAGCUCAUUUAGCAUUCUUGGUUUUGACCAUUACAUCUGUGUAUUCCUAUUUUGCGGAUAAAGUUGUGAAUCGAAAACCAGAUGCAUAUAGCUUGAUUUCUUCUGCUGCCUUUGCUAUCGUGUCCCUCAGCCUGUCAAGGCAAACUGAGUGUGGAUUUGAAGUGGAUUUUCUUUAUUUUUUCCUGGGAUGUCUAAUAGUACAACUCUUGAAGAUUAAAUUGGCAUUAGCUAUUGCUGGAGUAGGUUUCAGCUAUGUUCUUAUUAGUUUUCAUUCCUCCUAAGAUACCACAUCAUACCAGAAUCUUGGAGUCCAGGAUGAGCAUUCAGUAGUGAUUGAUGUCAAUUCGCUACGUACAGAUAAUGCUAGUAUCAUGCCACAACUCAGGACUUGUAUCAGGGCACUUC
rnacentral:lncRNA from 1 species